rnacentral:misc_RNA from 1 species
GAUGAAGAACGUAGCGAAAUGCGAUAAGUAAUGUGAAUUGCAGAAUUCAGUGAAUCAUCGAAUCUUUGAACGCACAUUGCGCCCGCCAGUAUUCUGGCGGGCAUGCCUGUUCGAGCGUCAUUUCAACCAUCAAGCCCCGGCUUGUGUUGGGGACCUGCGGCUGCCGCAGGCCCUGAAAAGCAGUGGCGGGCUCGCUGUCACACCGAGCGUAGUAGCAUACAUCUCGCUCUGGGCGUGCUGCGGGUUCCGGCCGUUAAACCACCUUCAUAACCCAAGGUUGACCUCGGAUCAGGUAGGAAGACCCGCUGAACUUAAGCAUAUCAAUAAGCGGAGGA